UACAGAGGGUGCAAGCGUAAUCGGAAUUACUGGGCGUAAAGCGUGCGUAGACGGUUGCGUAAGUCAGAUGUGAAAGCCCCGGGCUCAACCUGGGAAUUGCAUUUGAGACUGCGUAGCUAGGGUGCGGAAGAGGGAAGCGGAAUUUCCGGUGUAGCGGUGAAAUGCGUAGAUAUCGGAAGGAACACCAGUGGCGAAAGCGGCUUCCUGGUCCAGCACCGACGUCAGGCACGAAAGCGUGGGGAGCAAACAGG
rnacentral:rRNA from 1 species